CUGUAAUGCAAUGCGGCAUUGCGGUGUCGAACACCUUAGAAAAAUGCCUGUUCUUGUUUUCCAGGCAGAGCUUGAGUGUUAAAUAGCGUGUGAGACCGCACAGCGUCUGGUAAGAGGAAAGCAAAUUAUGGAGCAGUUGUUUGUCAUCAGGUGAAGGCAGUCAGUCCCGUUCACCAAGCAAGGCAGGCGUCCAGGGGAAAAUGAAUGAAAAAAGCUCUUUCUGCAGAUCAGACCUAUCCAGUGACAUGCGUUUCCACUCUGUCUGCUCAGUGAAGCACUCCUGUUUAUGAAGUCUGAAGUGCAUGAUAAUAUGACUGAAAUUCAUUAUCAAGCAAAUACAGUGUGGUAAGCUUUUCAGCAACUCAU
rnacentral:lncRNA from 1 species